UUUUCUCAUUGUUAAGCUAGUGAAAAUGUAAAUUUAUUUCUUACAUCCUGUUGCUCUUUCAUUUUUUCUUCCUAAUGUAUUUUAGUUGCUUUUUUAAACCCAAUGAGAACAAAGGCUUAAAGUAAAUAUAUAUAAUUUUCACAUGUUCAACAGUUUACCGUUAACAAAUGCACGGACCUUGAUUAUGAUUAAUGGUUGAAUGAAAAAUAUCAACUUUCC